rnacentral:tRNA from 1 species
GGAGAGGUGGCAGAGUGGUCGAUUGCACCGGUUUCGAAAACCGGAGGGCCUGAAAGGGCCUCCAGGGUUCAAAUCCCUGCCUCUCCG